rnacentral:rRNA from 1 species
UUCUAGUGGCGAACGGGUGCGUAACACGUGGGCAAUCUACCGAGAAGUGGGGGAUAGCUCGCCGAAAGGCGAAUUAAUACCGCAUAUGAUCAGAGGCGACAUCGCUUCGAAAUCAAAGCCGGGGCAACCUGGCGCUUCUUGAGGAGCCCGCGGCCUAUCAGCUUGUUGGUGAGGUAACGGCUCACCAAGGCAUUGACGGGUAGCUGGUCUGAGAGGACGACCAGUCACACUGGAACUGAGACACGGUCCAGACACCUACGGGUGGCAGCAGUCGAGAAUUUUUCUCAAUGGGGGAAACCCUGAAGGAGCGACGCCGCGUGGAGGAUGAAGGUCUUCGGGUUGUAAACUCCUGUCAUUUGGGAACAAGGCUGCGCAGUUAACUGCCGCGCAGUUGAUAGUACCAGAAGAGGAAGGGACGGCUAACUCUGUGCCAGCAGCCGCGGUAAUACAGAGGUCUCAAGCGUUGUUCGGAUUCAUUGGGCGUAAAGGGUGCGUAGGCGGCGCGGUAAGUCGGGUGUGAAAUUUCGAGGCUUAACUUCGAAACUGCAUUCGAUACUGCCGUGCUUGAGGACUGGAGAGGAGACUGGAAUUUACGGUGUAGCGGUGAAAUGCGUAGAUAUCGUAAGGAAGACCAGUGGCGAAGGCGGGUCUCUGGACAGUUCCUGACGCUGAGGCACGAAGGCCAGGGGAGCAAACGGGAUUAGAUACCCCGGUAGUCCUGGCAGUAAACGGUGCACGUUUGGUGUGGGAGGAUUCGACCCCUUCUGCGCCGGAGCUAACGCGUUAAACGUGCCGCCUGGGGAGUACGGUCGCAAGAUUAAAACUCAAAGAAAUUGACGGGGGCCCGCACAAGCGGAGGAACAUGUGGUUUAAUUCGAUGAUACGCGAGGAACCUUACCUGGGCUUAAAUGUA